CAAGUUGUUUAUUAGUUUUUAGUUUUUUCUUUUUCUUUUCUUCUUCUUCUUUUCAUGAUGACCGGUAAAACUAGAAAUAGUAAAUUACUUAAUAAAGUAGCAAACGUUGACAAAACUUCAACACAAAGAACGCGUAAACAAAAACUAAUUAAAAUGAUGGAAUUAAUGGUUAAGGAACACUAUGCCAGCUUUAUCAUUUUCAUGCAUUUUCCCAACAAUCAUGAAAGUGCGAUUAACGUACAAAAGUUAGGUGACUUUGCCAUUGCAGUUUAAAAAAAACCCUGCAUGAAACUUGCACGGGAUGAGUUUAAGGCAGCAGCAGUCCAGUUCCAAUUGAAUAGAAAAUCUGGCACAGACAAAGAAGAGGAAAUUUCCGUUCUCAGACACCACACUUCUAAUGUUCCAGAUCCCUAAAUCAACAUGGACUCUGUUGUUGCCACAGGCUCAGUGCAAUCUCAUCAAACUCCUGUGGUAGUUUCAGAAAACCCUGCUUCUACUGCUAAUACAACCAGGCCUCAUGCAACUGUUGUGGCUGUUUUAGGUGGCUGUUCUCCUAGCUCAGCUCCACCUCGUCAUUCUGGUGUAUCUGUUCCAGAUCUCUCAAUUCCAGGCUCAAUUCAACAUCAUUCAACUGAGGGUGUUACUAAACUAUGGAAUUGGAACUUCCAAAAUGGAAGUAUAAAAUCUGGAAUUCGACCGAAAACUAUGGAAUACGCUAGGUGGCGCUGGCUGUCCGAAAGUCUGGAAAUCAGAACCUAAACUCUGGAAGAUCAACCGAAAACUAUGGAAUACGUUACGGGAGUAGGUGGCGCUACAAAUCCUGAAAUCCCGGAACAACAUAUCCUAAAGUAUGGAAGUAGAGUCGGGAAAAUAUGGAAAUUAAAAAUUAAACUACAAAUACAAAGAAGUGAAAAACGAUAUAAAUUCUUGACUGUUUAUUGUU